CAUACGGUGUGUAAUGUAGACAAACACAGACACAUUUAGAUCUAGUGUUACAGUGAAAUGUGUAGAUCGUUCAUCGUUUUGAAAACUUUCAUGCUUUUGGCUUUGGUUACAUUCUAAAUCUAGUUGGCUUAUUUUAUUAUCUGAAAAGUGAUAUGAAUAAUGAAAAAUGUGUGCAGCCUAGAAUACACUUGGACAUUCUCAACAGUGAGACAAUAGAACUAUGUUAUAUUUAAGAUGAAACAAACUUAUUACACCACCGUGAUGCCGAAUUAAACGUUUGGACAAUGCUGUCGGUGCUGAUUCAUUCUAUUUUAUUUUGAAAGCAUUUCAAAUGGAUUCUUGUAUUUCAAGUUAGUGUCUAUGUGUUAUACACUAUUUCCUGGAUGAACCUCCUUUUACAAAAAUAUAGGAUCCUUGGUAAGAAGGGUGAGGGAACCUUCUCAGAGGUUCUCAAGGUCCAGGCGAUCAAGGAUGGUUCCUAUAGAGCUUGUAAAAAGAUGAAACAAACUUAUGAAAGGUAAAGUAUAAAAGUAAACUUUUUUUUUAUGCAUGAACAGUUCUUAUUUCUCUAACACACAGAUAAAUC
rnacentral:sRNA from 1 species